AAAAAAAAAAAAAGUUUUUCAUCCUCUUUCUUCCCUUGCCAGACCGCCCUUCUCGGUACAUCUCGUCUUUUAUCUGUCCAAUCAAUCCUUACUAAAAAACAAAAAUAAUAAAUAUAUAUAAAAAAAAUCCGCUUUGUAAUCUCUUUUCUAGGGUUCCUCUCUCUUCUACUUGUCUCAACAAUUUUGACUUGAACAAAACCAGCCUAUUUCCUUAACCAUGAAGUAAUACUGUACAGAUCUUCUCUCCUCCUCCAAACCCUAUUUCAUUGUAAACGGUUUUUGCUUUUUAAACCCUUUUCUGAUUUUCCCUUUCCCUUUUUGAUUCGUUCUCCGUUUACUUUUUUUACAGUUCAGAUUUUAGAUUUUCAAAGAAACCAUUAGAUUGAUUAGUUAUUAGGGUUUUUCGUUUUGGGUUUCCCUUUUGAAUGGUAAUUUUCAAGUGUAGAUAAAAUGGAUGCUUCGGAGAAUCUUAACCAAUUUGGCGAUAAUUCUACAGGAGAUGCAGUAUUUGAUGCAUCACAAUAUGCAUUUUUCGGAAAAGAUGUUCUCGAGGAAGUUGAAUUGGGGGGAUUAGAUGAUGAUGAUGAGGAUUUGCACACAGCCAGACUUGAUGAGGAGGAGUUUUUGUUUAAUCAAGAGGAGGGUGAAGUUUUGAGAUCCUUAUCAGAAAUUGAUGAUCUUGCUAGUACAUUUUCAAAGUUGAACACCGCUGUUAGUGGACCAAGAGGCUCAGGGAUAAUUGGUGAUAGGGGAUCCAGAGAAAGCUCAUCUGUUGCCAAAUGGGCACAUGGGGAGGAAUUUCCUUACCUGCUUGAUCAGCAGGCUCUUGAAACUGAAAGUAUUCCUGAAGGCAAACGCUGGUCAUCACAACCAUUGCCUAAUUUGGACUCAAAGCAUCUCUACAGGACAUCCUCAUACCCCGAGCAGCAGCAGGAAGAACAACACCACCAUCAACAUUUCUCUAGCGAACCAAUUCUGGUUCCAAACUCUUCUUACACUUCAUACCCUCCCCCUGUUGUCAGAUCUCCUCAAGAUUCACCAAACCAACAUUCUGCUUACCUGAAUGUUCCAUAUGUGGCUGGUGGAUCACAGAUGGCAUCUUUGCCAAAUCUCUCUGACUUCUCUAAUUCUCAGCUUCAAAAGCCAGGUUUACAUCAUGGGUCACAUUAUGGUGAGAAUAUGCCUCAGUUCGCACCUGGUCUGUCUGUCAAUAGUCGGCUGUCAAAUCAAUGGGGGAGUCAGCCAAAAUUAUAUGGUGGAGAUAAUUCCAGUGUUUUGAACAAUAUGUUGCAACAACAGUUAUCUCAUCAAAAUGGUUUGGUUCUGCCACAAUUAUUGCCACAGCUGCAGGCGCACCAGCAGAGACUGCCUCAUCCUGUUCAGCCAUCAUUUAGUCAUUUGUCAGGGAUUCAGCCACAACUAUUUAAUCCUCAUCUUUCUUCGUCCCCUCCUCUAAUGAACAAGCUUGAAGCUAUACUUGGUAUCGGUGAACUGAGAGAUCAAAGACUGAAAUCUGCUCAGAAAGGUAGGCAGAAUCCACGAUUUUCUCAGCAGGGCUUUGAUAGCAGUGGACUGAAGAGUGAUAUUGGAUGGCCUCAAUUUAGAUCCAAAUACAUGUCAACUGAUGAGAUCGAGGGCAUUGUUAGGAUGCAGCUUGCUGCAACUCACAGUAAUGACCCUUAUGUGGAUGAUUAUUACCACCAGGCUUGUCUUGCAGGAAAAUCUGCUGGGGCAAAGUUGAGACAUCAUUUUUGCCCAACUCAUCUUAGGGAUCUUCCUCCCCGAGCACGUGCAAAUACUGAGCCACAUGCUUUUCUCCAGGUUGAUGCUCUUGGGAGGGUUCCUUUUUCUUCAAUUCGCAGGCCUCGCCCUCUUCUUGAAGUUGACCCUCCAAAUUCAUCUGCUGUCGCCAACAAUGAUCAUAAAGCUUCUGAUAUGCCCCUGGAACAGGAACCAAUGCUUGCUGCUAGAGUUACAAUAGAGGAUGGUCUAUGCCUUCUUCUUGAUGUGGAUGAUAUUGAUCGGUUUUUACAGUUUAAUCAGUUGCAGGAUGGUGGAGCACAGCUGAGACAAAGACGACAGGUUUUGUUGGAAGGGCUGGCUGCUUCACUGCAAUUGGUUGACCCACUUGGCAAGAAUGGCCUCACAGAUGAGCUUGCCCAAAAGGAUGAUCUUGUGUUUUUACGGAUAGUUUCCCUUCCCAAAGGCCGGAAGCUGCUUGCAAGGUACCUUCAGUGUCUUUUUCCAGAUGGUGAGCUUAUGCGAGUUGUCUGCAUGGCCAUUUUCCGUCAUUUAAGGUUCUUGUUUGGAGGCCUUCCCUCUGAUCCAGGAGCAGCAGAAACUACUAAUAACCUUGCAAGAGUUGUUUCCUCGUGUGUUCAUGGCAUGGAUCUUCAUGCACUUAGUGUCUGUCUUGCAGCUGUGGUUUGUUCUUCAGAGCAGCCCCGUCUUCGUCCUCUUGGAAGUUCCGCUGGAGAUGGUGCAUCUUUUAUUCUGAAGUCUGUUCUUGAUAGGGCAACAAAACUCAUGAUUGAUUUUAGAGCUGCUGGCAAUUACAAUAUGACCAAUCAGUCCCUUUGGAAGGCCUCAUUUGAUGAAUUUUUUAACCUUCUUACCAAGUAUUGCAUAAACAAAUAUGAUACCGUGAUGCAGUCCUUGCGUAUGCAGGUCAAACCAAAUAUGGCAAUUGAUGAAUCAGAUGCUACCAAAGCGAUUAAAAGAGAAAUGCCAAUUGAUCUUUUACGUGCAUGUUUACCCCACAUUAAUGAUCAGCAGAAAAAGCAGAUAUGGCAUCUUUCUCAGCUGUCUAUGCUUGUAGGACAGUCAUGAUAAAAAAGUGGUAGCUAGGAGACGUUUAAAUUGAUACAUGUUUGAGACAACCAUGUUGAAGUACAAUAUGGAGCAAGUGAUGCCAUGUGCUGAUGGAAUGCAAUUAGCUAUACCAUUUCACCGUUAUAACUAUGAUGGAGCACCCUCAAUGGUUCAGGUGAAGCUCCAAGGAUAUUUAAAGUAAAGUGAAAUUUCUGGUAUGGAGAUGUAGUGGGAUAGUAAGUAUCGGGUUCAGUACAGAAGAUUUCCCGCGUUCUGACUAUUAUUUUCCAAGGAGGUGGGAUGGAUCAUGUCAAGUUCCUGUUGGAAUAGUCAGUGUGUAAUAUAGCAGACACUGAUUAAAGGCAUGAAGAUGUUUCUUGUAGCUUGCUGGAGGGUCUCAGAGAGUUGCUUUUUGAGCUAAAAUGUUGAAAUUUAGCUUUAAUAUUUGGUAACGUUGUUGCCUUUGAUUUGAUCGUUUUGUUCUUCCGCAAAGUUAUUGUUUUUAGUCUUUUUCAUUUUAUCAAAGAAAGACUGUUCAUAUCUCAGUGCUGCAUUUGGGCAUGGGUAUUGAUGUCAAGGCCAUAAUUCUUUGGAGCCUUUCAAUGCCUGCCCUGAACUAAAGUGUUAUAUGUCAUUUGAAGUUCUAGGGUGAAAGGAUGAUUUUACCCUUUUAUUUUCUUUGGCAUUUCUGUUAACAUUCAGGUGCAGUUAGCAAUUUGUGUAUUAAUGUCGUCUCAUAUAAAAUGUGUAAAAUAUAAAAAUUAUUAUGUCAUAA